UACGUAGGGGGCUAGCGUUGUCCGGAAUCAUUGGGCGUAAAGCGCGCGUAGGCGGCCAGAUAAGUCCGGUGUGAAAGUCAAAGGCUCAACCUUUGAAUGCCGCUGGAAACUGUCUGGCUAGAGUCCGGAAGGGGCGAGUGGAACUCCUGGUGUAGCGGUGAAAUGCGUAGAUAUCUGGAGGAACACCGGUGGCGAAGGCGGCAUCCUGGACCAUGACUGACACUGAAAAGCGAAAGCCAGGGGAGCAAACGGG
rnacentral:rRNA from 1 species